rnacentral:lncRNA from 1 species
UUUUGGGAUUUUGGGAGGGAUUUGGGGGAUUUUUUUUGUGGGAAUUUUGGGUUUUUUGGGAGGGAUUUGGGGGAUUUUUGGGCAGAAUUUUGGGGUUUUUUGGGAGGGAUUUUGGGGAUUUUUGGGACAGAAUUUUGGGGAUUUUUGGGGAGGGAUUUUGGGGGGAUUUUGGGGAUUUUUGGGGCAGAAUUUUGGGCAUUUUGGGGUGGGAUUUUUGGGAUUUUGGGAAUUAUUUGGAAGGGAUUUGGGGGAUUUUGGGGCAGAAUUUUGGGGUUUUUUGUGGGAAUUUUGGGGAUUUUUGGAGCAGAAUUUUGGGGUUUUUUGGAAGGGAUUUUGGGGAUUUUUGGGGCAGAAUUUUGGGUUUUUUUGGGAGGAAUUUGGGGGAUUUUUGGGUGGGAUUUUGGGGAUUUUUGGGACAGAACUUUGGGGUUUUUUGGGUGGGAUUUUAGUUGAAAUUUUUGAGAUUUUGGGGUUUUUUUUUUGGGUACCAUUUAUCCCUUUUUCAAUCCUUU